ACGGAAGGCAGCAGUGGGGAAUAUUGGUCAAUGGGCGUAAGCCUGAACCAGCCAAGUAGCGUGAGGGAUGACUGCCCUACGGGUUGUAAACCUCUUUUGUUUGGGAAUAAAGUAGACUACGUGUAGUCUUUUGCAUGUACCUUUCGAAUAAGCAUCGGCUAAUUCCGUGCCAGCAGCCGCGGUAAUACGGAAGAUGCGAGUGUUAUCCGGAUUUAUUGGGUUUAAAGGGAGCGUAGGCGGCCUGUUAAGUCUGCGGUUAAAUGUCAGGGCCCAACCUUGGUAUGCCGUGGAUACUGGCGGGCUUGAGUGCACACAAGGAAGGUGGAAUUCGUCGUGUAGCGGUGAAAUGCUUAGAUAUGACGAAGAACUCCGAUUGCGAAGGCAGCCUUCUGGGGUGUUACUGACGCUGAGGCUCGAAAGCGCGGGUAUCAAACAGGAUUAGAUACCCUGGUA
rnacentral:rRNA from 1 species